rnacentral:other from 1 species
UCUUUCCUGCUUGGUGCGUGAUGUGUCCUUUUGGACCCACAUUUUUUAAUAGGGAUGCUUGACUUCCUGUUCGUUUUGCAGACCUCCCGCCUGCGCUUUGACGUAUGGUGGACGUUGGGAGCAGUUUAGACCCGGAGCGGCAACCCACCUGCCGUUUGGUGCAGGUCAUAAUUGGAUGCACACGGCCAAAGCGGGAAUUUG